AUUGAACGCUGGCGGCAGGCCUAACACAUGCAAGUCGAGCGGUAGCACAAGAGAGCUUGCUCUCUGGGUGACGAGCGGCGGACGGGUGAGUAAUGUCUGGGAAACUGCCUGAUGGAGGGGGAUAACUACUGGAAACGGUAGCUAAUACCGCAUAACGUCUUCGGACCAAAGUGGGGGACCUUCGGGCCUCACGCCAUCAGAUGUGCCCAGAUGGGGAUAGCUAGUAGGUGGGGUAAUGGCUCACCUAGGCGACGAUCCCUAGCUGGUCUGAGAGGAUGACCAGCCACACUGGAACUGAGAC
rnacentral:rRNA from 1 species